rnacentral:rRNA from 1 species
GAUGAACGCUAGCGGCAGGCUUAACACGUGCAAGUCGAGGGGUAGAGGAUUUCGGGCCUUGAGACCGGCGCACGGGUGCGUAACCGGUAUGCAAUCUGCCUUUCACAGAGGGAUAGCCCAGAGAAAUAUAGAUUAAUACCUCAUAGCAUUACAGUGUGGCAUUACUAUGUAAUUAAAAUCAAAACUGCGAAAUAUGAGGAUGCGUCUCAUUAGCUAGUUGGUGAGGUAACGGCUUACCAAGGCAACGAUGGGUAGGGGUACUGAGAGGGAGAUCCGCCACACGGGUACUGAGACACGGGCCAGACUCCUACGGGAGGCAGCAGUGAGGAAUAUUGGUCAAUGGACGCAAGCCUGAACCAGCCAUGCCGCGUGCAGGAUUACGGUCCUAUGGAUUGUAAACUGCUUUUAUACGGGAAGAAACACUGCUACGUGUAGGAAAUUGACGGUACCAUAAGAAUAAGGAUCGGCUAACUCCGUGCCAGCAGCCGCCGUAAAAC